rnacentral:rRNA from 1 species
GACGAACGCUGGCGGCGUGCCUAAUACAUGCAAGUAGAACGCAGUUGCGAACGGGUGAGUAACGCGUAGGUAACUGCCUGGUAGCGGGGGAUAACUAUUGGAAACGAUAGCUAAUACCGCAUACUACCAGAUGGACCUUCGUUGUAUUAGCUAGUUGGUGAGGUAACGGGUCAACAAGGCAACGAUACAUAGCCGACCUGGACGGGGCGUGGGCCACAAUGGGACUGAGACACGGGCCAGACUCCUACGGGAGGUAGCAGUAGGGAAUCUUCGGCAAUGGGGGGAAACCUGAACGAGCAACGCCGCGUGAGUGAAGAAGGUUUUCGGAUCGUAAAGCUCUGUUGUUUAGGAAGCGGUACUUAACCAGAAAGGGCCGGCUAACUACGUGCCAGCAGCCGCGGUAAUAC